UACGUAGGGUGCGAGCGUUGUCCGGAAUUAUUGGGCGUAAAGGGCUCGUAGGCGGUCUGUCACGUCGGGAGUGAAAACACGGGGCUUAACCCCGUGCCUGCUUCCGAUACGGGCAGACUAGAGGUAUGCAGGGGGAGAACGGAAUUCCUGGUGUAGCGGUGAAAUGCGCAGAUAUCAGGAGGAACACCGGUGGCGAAGGCGGGUCUCUGGGCAGUAACUGACGCUGAGGAGCGAAAAGCGUGGGGGAGCGAACAGG
rnacentral:rRNA from 1 species